UACUGACUGAGAUUCUACUGACUACCCUGU
rnacentral:piRNA from 1 species